rnacentral:rRNA from 1 species
AUGCAGUCGAGCGGCAGCGGGAAAGUAGCUUGCUACUUUUGCCGGCGAGCGGCGGACGGGUGAGUAAUGCCUGGGGAUCUGCCCAGUCGAGGGGGAUAACAGUUGGAAACGACUGCUAAUACCGCAUACGCCCUACGGGGGAAAGGAGGGGACCUUCGGGCCUUUCGCGAUUGGAUGAACCCAGGUGGGAUUAGCUAGUUGGUGGGGUAAUGGCUCACCAAGGCGACGAUCCCUAGCUGGUCUGAGAGAAUGAUCAGCCACACUGGAACUGAGACACGGUCCAGACUCCUACGGGAGGCAGCAGUGGGGAAUAUUGCACAAUGGGGGAAACCCUGAUGCAGCCAUGCCGCGUGUGUGGAGAAGGCCUUCGGGUUGUAAAGCACUUUCAGCGAGGAGGAAAGGUUGGCGCCUAAUACGUGUCAACUGUGACGUUACUCGCAGAAGAAGCACCGGCUAACUCCGUGCCAGCAGCCGCGGUAAUACGGAGGGUGCAAGCGCUAAUCGGAAUUACUGGGCGUAAAGCGCACGCAGGCGGUUGGAUAAGUUAGAUGUGAAAGCCCCGGGCUCAACCUGGGAAUUGCAUUUAAAACUGUCCAGCUAGAGUCUUGUAGA